GGUGAACUUGCUCCUGCCAGGGCCUAUUUAUGAUUUUAACCUAUUGGAAGACUUCUCUUCCUCUCAGAAGUAAAACUGAUUUUGUAUAUCAUCUGCUUCUCCAACCAUUGCUCAAGAGAUGGUUAGCCUGUAUUCCUGCCCAGCUGCAGUGGCAAUUUUACAACCAGUCCAGUGUUGAUGAACAAUUCAAUUAUUGAUGGAUCAUUCAAAUGGGCCAUUAAGUGGAAUCAACUCUUCAGUGAGCUCUUCCUGAAGAUUCUUCAGACAGCAUGAAGCCAAGUGCUUACCCCUGUGAUUCAGCAAAACAGUACUCUGGAUUGUGGAUUUCCAACAAAAGGAGUAUUUUGAACAAUGGACUGAGGGCCUUUCAAUGUUUUGGAAGUUCCAGAGAGACUUUUGCAAGCCAGCAGACUCAUCCAUCUCUGCUACAAAUCUGAUCUAAGCACUUUGCAGUCAUUUGUAAUGUAUAUGAUCUUUUAA